GACUAAGUGGUCCAGUGGUAAAGCGCUCGUCGUGGAGCCAGAGGGUCACGGGUUCGAUCCCCAACGCGGUCG
rnacentral:tRNA from 1 species